GACCGUGCAAAGGUAGCAUAAUCAUUUGCCUUAUAAUUGAAGGCUUGUAUGAAUGGUUUGACAAGAAUAGAUCUGUCUCCUUACAAUUAAAUAUAAUUUUAUCCUUAGGUGAAGAAGCCUAAAUCUAAUUGAAAGACAAGAAGACCCUAUCGAGCUUGAAAAUACUUGAUAAAACUAAAACCAUGUUUAUAUUGAAAUAAUUAUCACAAAUUUUGGUUGGGGCGACAGAGGAACAAAUAAAGCUUCCUUAGAGUUUAAAUACGUGCAAGUAGUGAUCCAGACAUUUUGAUUAAAGGAAUUAGUUACCGUAGGGAUAACAGCAUUAUCUUUUUUAAGAGCUCAAAUCGAAAAAAAGGUUUGUGACCUCGAUGUUGGACCAGAAUGUCCUAAAGAUGCAGCCGUCUUUAAGGGUUGGUCUGUUCGACCAUUAAAAUUCUACGUGAUCUGAGUUCAGACCGGCGUGAGCCAGGUCAGUUUCUAUCUUCAAUUUUUGAUGUGGACUUAGUACGAAAGGAUUAGUCUAUAGUAGAAUUUACUGCAACUGAUGAAGUAUAAAGAAAAUUUUAGUGGAUGAAAUUUUUGAAGGAUCAAAUUAGCAAAGAUAAUGCAAUUGACUUAGGAUCAAUAGACAUAGGUGAAAAUCCUUUAUUUGAUAUCUUAUAGAGAUGGCAGAUAAA
rnacentral:rRNA from 1 species